AACCAUGUGAUUUGCCUGCUUAUAUACUAAAAUUGGAAGGAUGUGGAGAUUAUCAUGGUUUCUGGACAAGGAUAACAAGCAAAUUCAUACAGCAUCUCAUAUUUUU
rnacentral:snRNA from 1 species